rnacentral:rRNA from 1 species
AAAAAGGUUUGAUCAUGGAAUCCGAUUGAACGCUGGCGGCAGGCCUAACACAUGCAAGUCGAGCGGUAGCACAGAGAGCUUGCUCUCGGGUGACGAGCGGCGGACGGGUGAGUAAUGUCUGGGAAACUGCCUGAUGGAGGGGGAUAACUACUGGAAACGGUAGCUAAUACCGCAUAACGUCGCAAGACCAAAGUGGGGGACCUUCGGGCCUCAUGCCAUCAGAUGUGCCCAGAUGGGAUUAGCUAGUAGGUGGGGUAAUGGCUCACCUAGGCGACGAUCCCUAGCUGGUCUGAGAGGAUGACCAGCCACACUGGAACUGAGACACGGUCCAGACUCCUACGGGAGGCAGCAGUGGGGAAUAUUGCACAAUGGGCGCAAGCCUGAUGCAGCCAUGCCGCGUGUAUGAAGAAGGCCUUCGGGUUGUAAAGUACUUUCAGCGAGGAGGAAGGCGUUAAGGUUAAUAACCUUGGCGAUUGACGUUACUCGCAGAAGAAGCACCGGCUAACUCCGUGCCAGCAGCCGCGGUAAUACGGAGGGUGCAAGCGUUAAUCGGAAUUACUGGGCUAAAGCGCACGCAGGCGGUCUGUCAAGUCGGAUGUGAAAUCCCCGGGCUCAACCUGGGAACUGCAUUCGAAACUGGCAGGCUAGAGUCUUGUAGAGGGGGGUAGAAUUCCAGGUGUAGCGGUGAAAUGCGUAGAGAUCUGGAGGAAUACCGGUGGCGAAGGCGGCCCCCUGGACAAAGACUGACGCUCAGGUGCGAAAGCGUGGGGAGCAAACAGGAUUAGAUACCCUGGUAGUCCACGCCGUAAACGAUGUCGACUUGGAGGUUGUGCCCUUGAGGCGUGGCUUCCGGAGCUAACGCGUUAAGUCGACCGCCUGGGGAGUACGGCCGCAAGGUUAAAACUCAAAUGAAUUGACGGGGGCCCGCACAAGCGGUGGAGCAUGUGGUUUAAUUCGAUGCAACGCGAAGAACCUUACCUACUCUUGACAUCCAGAGAACUUAGCAGAGAUGCUUUGGUGCCUUCGGGAACUCUGAGACAGGUGCUGCAUGGCUGUCGUCAGCUCGUGUUGUGAAAUGUUGGGUUAAGUCCCGCAACGAGCGCAACCCUUAUCCUUUGUUGCCAGCGGUCCGGCCGGGAACUCAAAGGAGACUGCCAGUGAUAAACUGGAGGAAGGUGGGGAUGACGUCAAGUCAUCAUGGCCCUUACGAGUAGGGCUACACACGUGCUACAAUGGCAUAUACAAAGAGAAGCGACCUCGCGAGAGCAAGCGGACCUCAUAAAGUAUGUCGUAGUCCGGAUUGGAGUCUGCAACUCGACUCCAUGAAGUCGGAAUCGCUAGUAAUCGUAGAUCAGAAUGCUACGGUGAAUACGUUCCCGGGCCUUGUACACACCGCCCGUCACACCAUGGGAGUGGGUUGCAAAAGAAGUAGGUAGCUUAACCUUCGGGAGGGCGCUUACCACUUUGUGAUUCAUGACUGGGGUGAAGUCGUAACAAGGUAACCGUAGGGGAACCUGCGGUUGGAUCACCCCCA